rnacentral:antisense_RNA from 1 species
GUAGGAGCCGAGCUUGCUCGCGAUGAGGCCCCGGCAGCCGACAUCAAUGUUGAAUGUUCGGUCGCCAUCGCGAGCAAGCUCGGCUCCUAC